rnacentral:rRNA from 1 species
CCUACGGGUGGCAGCAGUGGGGGAUAUUGCACAAUGGGGGAAACCCUGAUGCAGCGACGCCGCGUGGGUGAAGAAGUAUUUCGGUAUGUAAAGCCCUAUCAGCAGGGAAGAAAGAAGACGGUACCUGACUAAGAAGCCCCGGCUAACUACGUGCCAGCAGCCGCGGAAAUACGUAGGGGGCGAGCGUUAUCCGGAUUCACUGGGUGUAAAGGGAGCGUAGACGGCCGUGCAAGCCAGGAGUGAAAGCCCGGGGCCCAACCCCGGGACUGCUCUUGGAACUGUGCGGCUGGAGUGCGGGAGGGGCAGGCGGAAUUCCUGGUGUAGCGGUGAAAUGCGUAGAUAUCAGGAGGAACACCGGCGGCGAAGGCGGCCUGCUGGACCGCGACUGACGUUGAGGCUCGAAAGCGUGGGGAGCGAACAGGAUUAGAUACCCUAGUAGC